AGAGUUUGAUCCUGGCUCAGGACGAACGCUGGCGGCGUGCCUAAUACAUGCAAGUCGAACGCUUCUUUCCUCCCGAGUGCUUGCACUCAAUUGGAAAGAGGAGUGGCGGACGGGUGAGUAACACGUGGGUAACCUACCCAUCAGAGGGGGAUAACACUUGGAAACAGGUGCUAAUACCGCAUAACAGUUUAUGCCGCAUGGCAUAAGAGUGAAAGGCGCUUUCGGGUGUCGCUGAUGGAUGGACCCGCGGUGCAUUAGCUAGUUGGUGAGGUAACGGCUCACCAAGGCCACGAUGCAUAGCCGACCUGAGAGGGUGAUCGGCCACACUGGGACUGAGACACGGCCCAGACUCCUACGGGAGGCAGCAGUAGGGAAUCUUCGGCAAUGGACGAAAGUCUGACCGAGCAACGCCGCGUGAGUGAAGAAGGUUUUCGGAUCGUAAAGCUCUGUUGUAAGUCAAGAACGAGUGUGAGAGUGGAAAGUUCACACUGUGACGGUAGCUUACCAGAAAGGGACGGCUAACUACGUGCCAGCAGCCGCGGUAAUACGUAGGUCCCGAGCGUUGUCCGGAUUUAUUGGGCGUAAAGCGAGCGCAGGCGGUUUGAUAAGUCUGAAGUUAAAGGCUGUGGCUCAACCAUAGUUCGCUUUGGAAACUGUCAAACUUGAGUGCAGAAGGGGAGAGUGGAAUUCCAUGUGUAGCGGUGAAAUGCGUAGAUAUAUGGAGGAACACCGGUGGCGGAAGCGGCUCUCUGGUCUGUAACUGACGCUGAGGCUCGAAAGCGUGGGGAGCGAACAGGAUUAGAUACCCUGGUAGUCCACGCCGUAAACGAUGAGUGCUAGGUGUUGGGUCCUUUCCGGGAUUCAGUGCCGCAGCUAACGCAUUAAGCACUCCGCCUGGGGAGUACGACCGCAAGGUUGAAACUCAAAGGA
rnacentral:rRNA from 1 species